AUGAACAACCAUGGCUAUAAAUGCAAUAAAGCCCACUUCACUGAAACACAUUCUUCCUAUCACUCUCUGGUGGUCUCUGCCUACUCACAGGAAUCCUCUCAGGAUCCCUCAUCCUGUAACUGUAACGCUCCGGGUGUUGUGGGUGUGGAGUCAGACGCAGGAGACAGAGAGUGCAAUGCUGUGCUCUUUAAUGCUGUGCUCUUUAACCCAACAUCUCCUCCAGUCAACCUCUCCUCCACCCAACGUCUCCUCCAGUCAACCUCUCCUGCACCCAACCUCUCCUCCAGUCAACCUAUCCUCCACCCAACCUCUCCUCCAGUCAACCUAUCCUCCACCCAACCUCUCCUCCAGUCAACCUCUCCUCCACCCAACCUCUGCUCCAGUCAACCUAUCCUCCACCCAACCUCUCCUCCACCCAACCUCUCCUCCAGUCAACCUAUCCUCCACCCAGCCUCUCCUCCACCCAACCUCUCCUCCGGUCAGCCUGACAUCACAUAUGGAUCACCCAAAAUUCAAGGAUCCAUUCUCUCUAGAAAUCACACUCCCACUGGGCCAGAAUCACCUUUAUCAUCCUCGGUACAAGGCCUGAUCUCAGCGGUCCUCAGCACAGGUACUUCAUCCUCACUCUCACCAGGUUCCGUCACUGAACUACUGGAGCAUGUAUCCCUCAUUUUGCACUUCACGCACACAUUCUUCACCUCACUAUCUCGCUCUACACUCAACUUCUUCUCAGCAGUCAUCACUGAACCUGCCAACACACUUAAUUCAUCCUCACUCGUCACAUUCAAUUUCCUCCUCAAGCUCUUCCAAAAGUUCUGUGAGAUCCUCCAUUCCAUAUUCACUCAAAACAUGUUCCACUUUUCUCCUUUUUUACUUGUCCUCCAUCUUGUCCUUCACCAGAUCUCCCAGAAGGCUGGUGCAAUGCCCAAUAAAAAUGUAUUCAGAAUUGGUUCCACUUUCUUCUUUUUUUUCUUGUCUGCCAUCUUACUGCAUGUGUGUGUGUGUUUAUAA
rnacentral:lncRNA from 1 species